rnacentral:rRNA from 1 species
GCCCUCGACUGUUAGAGAUUGAUUACCUCCCCGUCCCUUUUUUUUUUGCCCCGCCCUUUGUUUUUUGACGGUCUUUGUUGCUUUUACCGCGUUAAUCGAAUCGGCUUGAACCGGGCAAAAGUCGUAACAAGGUUUCCGUAAGUGAACCUGCGGAAGGAUCAUUA